rnacentral:lncRNA from 1 species
GUCUCUUACAGCUAUUCUUGCUCGGGGAAUCACCAGCAUAUUCCAAGUCUGGUAUCAUGUUCCCUGCCUAGAGCAUAGAGUCAGCUAUUGUCCAUGCAGCAGAAGACAUUGGAGAUUAUUUACCUAGGGCUCAGGACCACCUUACUUCUACCCCAAGACCCUGGCAAACAGGCAAGUGGUGUGUUACACGAUGAUUUCCACUCCACUUUGAGUUUUUAUAUCAAAAGGAUCAGAAGGUAAUUGUGAUGGAUAUUUUUAUCUGUCAACUUGACAAAAGCUAUCAUCUGAGAAGAGACUAUAAUGAGAAAAUGGAUAAUUAUCAAAUCAGGUUGGUAUGCAGGCUCUUCUGUGGGAGAUGGUGUUGAUUUUUUAACAGAUUGGUUGAU